rnacentral:piRNA from 1 species
UUAAACUUGAUAAAACUUGCA